rnacentral:rRNA from 1 species
UACGGGGGGGGGCAAGCGUUGUUCGGAAUUACUGGGCGUAAAGGGCUCGUAGGCGGCCAACUAAGUCAGACGUGAAAUCCCUCGGCUUAACCGGGGGAACUGCGUCUGAUACUGGAUGGCUUGAGGUUGGGAGAGGGAUGCGGAAUUCCAGGUGUAGCGGUGAAAUGCGUAGAUAUCUGGAGGAACACCGGUGGCGAAGGCGGCAUCCUGGACCAAUUCUGACGCUGAGGAGCGAAAGCCAGGGGGAGCAAAACGGG